CGCGGGGUGGAGCAGCUCGGUAGCUCGCUGGGCUCAUAACCCAGAGGACGCAGGUUCAAAUCCUGUCCCCGCUA
rnacentral:tRNA from 1 species